rnacentral:sRNA from 1 species
UUUCGCGUGCGUGCAUAUGUGGUCUUUUAAAUGAGAUGAAUGCUUUUUGGUUAAAUUAUCUUUAUAAUAUAAAUUUCUCAAGACUUUUAAAGUGACGUCAUUAUGGAGUAUGAGAUGGAUGCAAACAAGGGAGGCUGAGAGAACGGGGAGCGGGGUGGGGCAGGGAGCAGGAGAGAAACAGGAGGUGGGGUAGGGAAGCAAAGGCAGGAAGGGACAUUGUCUGCAGAGCCCUGUGGCUGGCAGGUGCCAGGCUGGGGCGUUCAAGAGGGUGGGAGGCAGUCCCACUACUGGUCGGCUCCUAGUAUCCUGCAGCUCAGGACAUCACCUGAGGUCAGAGGGUUACUAGGGCUGCAACCUCCUCCAGUCCUGUUUUUUGUGAGGAGUGGCUCCUUGGGUCUUUACUCCUGGAGCUUCAGCUUGCUUGUUAAAUCCUAUUGGCUCACCCCACAGGCUGGGCUCUGGGCUGGCUGCACUCAGUGCAAGGAGGGGACCCUGGUGCAGUAGGCAGAUGGGUAUAUUUGAUAACCUUAGAGGUUCCUCUAGAGCAAGAAGGGAGGGGCCUGGAGGUGGCCAUUGCACAGGGAAGUUCUUAUAAAAGAUUGGUGGGCUUUGAAGAAUGAGGAAUUUAUUAGGUGGACCAGAAAAAGGCUGGGGAAGAGGGUUCUCUGUGGCGCUUGUGACACCUGAUGAGGCCUUGAGAAAAACCAGGGGAUCUCCUCUGUCCUGCAGGGUUCUCCUGGAUGCUCUCACAGUGCAAUUUGCAGUCUGAGGUAUGUCCUACAGGGCUCUCACCCGCUUUCCCAGCCUGCGCAGGGGCACUGUCCGUCCCCCAUCUCUCCUCACUUCCCUCUCAGCCUUCCUCUGCUUACUUGGAUGUGAGUCUUCUGUACUGCUGAAUUCCUAACUCACCACAGGGUGCAUACAGCCGGCAACUGAUGUGAGCGAAUGCAAGAAAUGUGCACUUUGACAGUGGCUAAGGGGGGGGAGGGGUGCUCUUCCCAGAGAGCCCUCAACCCUGUCCUGUCUCCCAGCCUUUCCGUCAGGUUCAGGAAACCCUGCUGGAUUAGUGCUUAGCCCAGAUAAUUCUCUUUGCCUGCUCCCCCCACCCCCCAAGUCUCUCUUCAUGCAUUUGUGAGUCUCUUGCUGUGGAAGCUGGGAACUGAACUCCUGGUCCUUUGAAAGAGCAGAAGUGCACCCUCCUUUACCCAGCUCUGUGCUGGGAGUGCAGGAGUGUGCCCCAUGUCCAGUUUACAUGGUACUGGGAGUUGAACCUUCCAUGAGCCUCAUGAACUCUAGCCAGACAGCACCAGCUGAGCCACAUCCCUACCUCUUGGUGCAAUCAUUAUUAAUAAUGCAAAGAUUCCAGGCUGCAGACCUGACGAAGGAAGAGAACUCCUUGAACCUGGUGGGAGAACCAGCAGUCUUUCCUCAAGGUUGACUAUUCCUGGUCCCCUUAAGAAUGCUGAAGUCUACAGAUGUCCAAGCUCCUAAUCAUGUAAACUGGUGAGUACUUUCAUAUAAGUGGUGCGCCUAUUCCCGCACACUUCACAUUAUAGAUUACUUAUAAUAGCCAAUGCAAGGCAGAUCCAUGUAAACAGUUACAUGGCAUUGUUUCGGGAUGACCAGAGGAAAGGUCUGUGGUGUUCAGCUCAGGUCCAUUUCUCUUUCAUUUUCCACAUGGGGUUGGUUGAAAUGUGGAUGUGACUGUCAAGGCAGACCCAUCCCCUUGGUGUUUAAACCCAGAGGAGCUCAAGGGUGGCCUUCCAGAAGACCUCAGUGGAAUGUCCUAUUUGCCUGGAGACGAAUAAGCACUGUGUGGCUAGCUCCUGCAGUUAGUAUCUGUCUGCAGUGGGCGGUGCUAGGGAAAAAGGAGCUUUCCUUGAGAGAGCUGGAGAUGUCUGAACUUGCCAGAGGCCUGAGAAUGUCUUCCUGAGGUCUAGGUCUGUGCCACAUCCCUGGCACUACUGCAGUUGGGUUGGGGAUGUGAGUUAAAGACUGUACAGCGUUCUUCCUCUUCCAGUUAAGAGAACUGACACUGGCAGAAAGGGGUCAAAGUGAUGUGUCCCUGGGCAAGACUUUACUUUCCAAUCUCUAGCCAAGCAGCCUAAGGCAGUGCCUUUGAGGAGGAAGGAAAGAGAUGGGGGGUUAUGUGUGGGGCUGACAGUGCAGAUUUGCCAGAUGAGAGAGCUGUUAGCCCAGCUAUGGGUCAGAAAACAGGUCCCUGGGAUUUUCAGGCCCUGUGGGUGUAUGACAGGACCUUUAAGAAUAGCUACUAGGGCUUUAUUCACUGGCUUAACGAACGUGAUGUCCCCCAACAUUUGGACUGUAAUGACCCCAAAUCACUCUCUUAUCUGAGUGCUAAGAUGAUGUGGGGCCAAUGUGGUUAGUGAGUUUGGUGUGUCACAAAACUGGGUCUUAAAGAUUUGCUCUCUGCAGCCUGCACGGCUCCUGGGAGCUUCUGGGGAAGGUAGGAAGCAUAGACAUACAGGGAUGAGUAUCACAGAAAAUGACUUCUGAAGGGCUCCCCCAGGUGUCUUGUUCUACUCUGAUUCACCACUUGGCCUCUGGCUUGGACAAGCCCCAGGAACAGCCCGAGCCUGGUGAUCAAGAGUCACAGUCCCUACUUUAGCUUUGCUCAGUUUUUGGCAUGAAUUAAACCCCAAUAACAGCAGCAGGGUGAGGUGGGACAUAGUCAGAGCCACUUGGCAGGGGUAGAAUGGCUGGUCUUUGGUUCUGGCAGGACUUUGUGCUUUGGGGCCAUUGCUACUAAGUACAUACAACAGAGUAGGCAAUCAGAUGACCGAAUGGCCACGUGACUGCCAGGUGGGUCAGACACACAGAUUGAUUCAUAGAAUGAAGAAUGCUGUGGAUCCUAAAAGUGAGAGAUCAAAUUGCACCUCCACAAAUGCCAUGCGGUUAGAACCUUAAGAGGCGAUUUUUGAACGUUAUUGUUGAGUGUUUGACUCUCAGCUGAGCAUUGGUAACUGAAGCCAAGGGGAGAAAAACCAAGCUCCUGGCCGUGGCCUUGAGACACCUGUUACACUCCACCUUUGCUUCUAGUGUUAAAAAAAAAGUCAGCGGGAAGGUAGAACUGUCGUUGGCGCAUGCUCUGUGUGAACAACAGGAGCCGAGUCACACUAACCCCAUUUAAGUCCACCAGCUGACUUAUUUAAGGGUUCCAUGUGGGGCUGGAGA